rnacentral:rRNA from 1 species
GAUGAACGCUGGCGGCGUGCCUAAUACAUGCAAGUCGAGCGAACAGACGAGGAGCUUGCUUCUCUGACGUUAGCGGCGGACGGGUGAGUAACACGUGGAUAACCUACCUAUAAGACUGGGAUAACUUCGGGAAACCGGAGCUAAUACCGGAUAAUAUUUUGAACCGCAUGGUUCAAUAGUGAAAGACGGUCUUGCUGUCACUUAUAGAUGGAUCCGCGCCGCAUUAGCUAGUUGGUAAGGUAACGGCUUACCAAGGCAACGAUGCGUAGCCGACCUGAGAGGGUGAUCGGCCACACUGGAACUGAGACACGGUCCAGACUCCUACGGGAGGCAGCAGUAGGGAAUCUUCCGCAAUGGGCGAAAGCCUGACGGAGCAACGCCGCGUGAGUGAUGAAGGUCUUCGGAUCGUAAAACUCUGUUAUUAGGGAAGAACAAAUGUGUAAGUAACUAUGCACGUCUUGACGGUACCUAAUCAGAAAGCCACGGCUAACUACGUG